UACGAAGGGGGCUAGCGUUGCUCGGAAUCACUGGGCGUAAAGCGCACGUAGGCGGACUCUUAAGUCAGGGGUGAAAUCCUGGAGCUCAACUCCAGAACUGCCUUUGAUACUGGCUGUCUUGAGUACGGGAGAGGUGAGUGGAACUCCGAGUGUAGAGGUGAAAUUCGUAGAUAUUCGGAAGAACACCAGUGGCGAAGGCGACUCACUGGCCCGUUACUGACGCUGAGGCGCGAAAGCGUGGGGAGCAAACAGG
rnacentral:rRNA from 1 species